AUACGGAGGGUGCAAGCGUUACUCGGAAUCACUGGGCGUAAAGCGCGCGCAGGCGGGCUGAUAAGUAGGAUGUGAAAGCCUACGGCUCAACCGUAGAACUGCAUCCAAAACUGUCAGUCUAGAGUGUGGGAGAGGAAGAUGGAAUUAGUUGUGUAGGGGUAAAAUCCGUAGAGAUAACUAGGAAUACCAAAAGCGAAGGCAAUCUUCUGGAACACUACUGACGCUGAGGCGCGAAGGCGUGGGGAGCAAACAGGAUUAGAAACCCCAGUAGUCC
rnacentral:rRNA from 1 species